GGGUAGUUAUUUAAGAAAUGCAAGAGUGAGAUAGAGAAGGCGUCCGCACAGUCAUAUACUUGGUCAACUUGCCACUGUACAGACCUUUGGAAUUGGCCCUGAUAUAUCGUAUUCACAUUAAUUCUGGAAAUGACCUCCUAUUUUGCAUAAUUUGUAUUUCAUUUUGUACAACAUUCAUUUCAUUUGUCUAAGCUACAUACAGACCAAAAAUCAUGAAAAUCCGUUAUUUCUUUCUUGAGUAAUCGUCUUCGGAAAGUUUUGACAAAAAUUACCUUGCAAUUUCAACACCAAUCGCUGGGGGCCCAAACGUAUGCCCUUCUUUCCUAGCACAACAGCUAUCUACCAACCAUCAAUCGUAACCACGGCUUAUUCAGAACACGAGAUAUAAAAAAAAAAACAUGUUUCGCUGCAGUUCCAAGUGAAGCCGUUAUGGGCCGAAGAUUCCCGUAAUUAUUUCCGUUUUUGUCACACGCCACCAACACAGCAAAAUCAUUCACCAUUCAGCAACAGUUCUUGAGUUAUCUUGAGUUGACACAAACAAUCACAGACAUACAUACACAGGUGAAAAUAUUACACCCAUGAAUAUUUCAAAGGGUAAUAAAGCUGCUUGUCACCAUGUAAAGAACACGUAUCGUAGCAUGAACAUGAACAUACUAUUACCCAGUAUUUCUGUCUUAUUUAUUACCUGUAAUAUCUUUUCUGCAAGAUAUAGAAAGUUUCUGUAUUUCAGUUUAAUAAAAAAAAAACUGCUUUGAUGGUGAACCCUUGCAGGUCUUUUACGUGAUCUAUGAGAAUUCUUACGUUUGAGCCCCGCGAGCACGCACUGACAUGUACGUGUAAGUAGUGCGUGCUCGGAGUCAUGUUUGAACCCCGUUUGAGCGUGCGUGCUCCGUGUCAUGUGAUCUUCGUUUUGCUAACUAUAGACAAGCGUCCCAGUUCUCCCGCCUGAUACAAACAAAAUGCCGCUAGUCGAAGAAGUGUUUUUCCCGAGGAUGAUGUUGGUGCACGUAGCCGGGCCUGUAGUUUCGCCUCAAGGUAUCUGGAAGACGAGGAACCACCCCAGCUGCCCCAGGUCAGCAGCGGAGGGAUGUAUAUCAUAUGAAAAGACAACCGCCGAACUUUAAUAUCAGUUGGAGACGAAACGCGGCUCGAAGAGGUCAUGGCUUCACUGACCAUACAUACAGGACACGAGUGACAACGUCAAGGUGUUCCUGACACCCGUACCUGUGUCCACCAGGACGACGCAGUUCGGCCACAACGUGCACAGGGACUCCUACCACGACAGGGAAAGUCAGUGGAGUCCGUGCAAGUCAGUGAGACAAGCUGCAUCACUGAAGGAGCCGGAAUAGACGUCCUUGUGCCUUAUAAAGUCGGGAAGGAGCUACAAAUCACCCAGAGCAGCACCGUCGACAGGAGGAAGAUAACGAGAGGGGAGUGCCAGACCAGUAGCAGAUCUAGAAUAGCCAAUCGAUUGCGCUGCUACAACCAUAGUGAACCUAAAACUAGUUAGAGAAUUCACGGACUAGUUUUGAGGUGAUUUAUACCAUUACUGUGCAUUUUAGUGUACUGGGUAUACAUUGCAGUAGUAGUUGAUUGUGCAUGUGUAUCAAAGAACCGUACAUAAGGUUAACCUCAGCGACGACGGACCGAAUCAAACCGGAGAUGGAUGUAGUAAAGGAGAGAACCGCCAUAGGAAUGUUCAGUACAAUUAUUCUGUAUCCAACCUGUGACCGAAGUUAGCGGGGUCAGCAUUAUGUAGUAACGUCAAAACACUUUAACAGUCUCCCGUGCCAAGUGUACGGAAAACCUUG